CCCACCCUUCCGCGCUGCCCACGCCCAGCCAAGCCUGUCACCCUCUUCCCCAUUAGCAGCCUGCCAAGGAGGUGGGGUUCUAACCUGACUCUCCAUGAGACAGCAAACUCCUCCCCACCUCUCUCCACCCCAUCCUGGUACCUGAGGGCGCCAAGGGUGACCUGGGAAGACGUCCGCGAGUGAGGCAGCUGGUGAGGCCCGCGUGCCCUUGUGGCAGCUCCGUCCUGGGCCGAUAAUGAAGAUGGCUUUUGAGCGUACAAAGGACAAUAAAUUAUUACUUUGCGCUCAAUAAAUGCCAGGGCUCCAGGCAGCUGCAUCAGCAUCAAACUGUGCUCACAGAAAAGCUUAAUUAUCCUGAUAUUAUAGUUAAAAGCCAGUGGUACUUGUGUCCUGGAAAGACAUUCUUCACUUGGCAGAAGGCAACCUGGGCCAAGCUGUGGACAGCUGAAGGUUUUCCUGAUUACUGGGCCUCUCUAGACUGAGAAGCUUAGGCAGAGGAAGUUGUCAACACUGUGAAGGCACAGAGCAUGUCUGUCUCCUCUACCUCCAACCUACCCCACUCCUUGGCACAAGCUGAGCCUGGGCCCAAUGCAGCCCGAAGAAUGCAAAUUCUCCUGAAACCGCCUCAGCCAUCUGCCUCCCUCUCUGCUGAAAUAAAGUUGCUGCUGCUGCUGCGACUGCCACCAUCACAGCCAAAGCCAC